UUCGCUUGCAGUCUUUCCACAGAGCACUCUGGGGAAAACAAGCACAGCACUCUAUGUGAUACCCCCUGUACUGCUUUUGAUAUGUAUCCUCGUUCUUGUUUAUAAGUACAGACGUUCCAGGAUUGAAGAAGCUGUUCUCUCCCUGCGGAGAAAUGCAUCUAGGAAAAAGAGUUCAAAGAAGGUGAUUGGUGCAGCACAAAGUGAAAUUUAUAAAAAUCAAGGUGUGGUGACCUCCAAUGACCAAAGCACCAGUAACGUCUAUGAAGAAGUAGAUGUAGAAGUACACUACGAAAACUUGACCGCAAGUGAAUAAAUCUACUGCAAUGAAAAUUUCCAUAAACCCAACAGAAGAUACAGGUCAGCCCAUAAAUAUUUGGACAGAUACAACUAUUUU